AAAUUGAAGAGUUUGAUCAUGGCUCAGAUUGAACGCUGGCGGCAGGCCUAACACAUGCAAGUCGAACGGUAGCACAGAGAGCUUGCUCUCGGGUGACGAGUGGCGGACGGGUGAGUAAUGUCUGGGAAACUGCCUGAUGGAGGGGGAUAACUACUGGAAACGGUGGCUAAUACCGCAUAACGUCGCAAGACCAAAGAGGGGGACCUUCGGGCCUCUUGCCAUCAGAUGUGCCCAGAUGGGAUUAGCUUGUUGGUGAGGUAACGGCUUACCAAGGCGACGAUCCCUAGCUGGUCUGAGAGGAUGACCAGCCACACUGGAACUGAGACACGGUCCAGACUCCUACGGGAGGCAGCAGUGGGGAAUAUUGCACAAUGGGCGCAAGCCUGAUGCAGCCAUGCCGCGUGUAUGAAGAAGGCCUUCGGGUUGUAAAGUACUUUCAGCGGGGAGGAAGGUGUUGUGGUUAAUAACC
rnacentral:rRNA from 3 species